rnacentral:rRNA from 1 species
CGCGAAGAACCUUACCAGGUCUUGACAUCCUUUGACCAUUCUGGAGACAGAACUUUCCCUUCGGGGACAAAGUGACAGGUGGUGCAUGGUUGUCGUCAGCUCGUGUCGUGAGAUGUUGGGUUAAGUCCCGCAACGAGCGCAACCCUUGAUUUUAGUUGCCAGCAUUUAGUUGGGCACUCUAAAGUGACUGCCGGUGUAAGCCGGAGGAAGGUGGGGAUGACGUCAAAUCAUCAUGCCCCUUAUGACCUGGGCUACACACGUGCUACAAUGGAUAAUACAAAGGGUCGCGAAGCCGCGAGGUGGAGCCAAUCCCAUAAAAUUAUUCUCAGUUCGGAUUGCAGGCUGCAACUCGCCUGCAUGAAGCCGGAAUCGCUAGUAAUCGUAGAUCAGCAUGCUACGGUGAAUACGUUCCCGGGUCUUGUACACACCG